UACAUGGGGUGCAAACGUUGCUCGGAAUUACUGGGCGUAAAGGGCUCGUAGGUGGCCAACUAAGUCGGACGUGAAAUCCCUCAGCUUAACUGGGGAACUGCGUCCGAUACUGGAUGGCUUGAGUUUGGGAGAGGGAUGCGGAAUUCCAGGUGUAGCGGUGAAAUGCGUAGAUAUCUGGAGGAACACCGGUGGUGAAGGCGGCAUCCUGGACCAACACUGACACUGAGGAGCGAAAGCCAGGGGAGCAAACGGG
rnacentral:rRNA from 1 species